GUGCGAGACCGAUAGCGAACAAGUACCGUGAGGGAAAGAUGAAAAGAACUUUGAAAAGAGAGUUAAAGAGUACCUGAAACUGCUGAAAGGGAAGCGAAUCGUAUCCAGUGUCUAUAAUCUGCGGCAUAUUUCAUUGGCGGCAGUGUGCGUGCUUUUGCGUCGGAAGCGGCUUUUGUUGCUCUGUGCCUUUGCUGUGCGUGCUGUUGCUGGUGCCCUGUGUUGCGGUGGGACGUCAGAGUCAGUUCGUAUGCUGCGGGAAAUGGCCGCCGAGGAGGUAGGUCAGGACUUCGGUCUUGGCUGUUAUAUCUUGGUGGAUUGUUGUCGUGGUUGGGACUGAGGUGCCUACAAUGUGCUUUUGAGUGUGCCGGGUUCUCAUUUGGUGGACUGUUUGGAUAGCUUGCUAUGCUUGUGGUUUUUUCAUCGAGUGAUUGAGUCUGGUGGUAACUUGUUGCUGUUCGGGACUUUGA
rnacentral:rRNA from 2 species